rnacentral:rRNA from 1 species
GACGAACGCUGGCGGCGUGCUUAACACAUGCAAGUCGAACGGAAAGGCCUGCUUUCCCUUGUGGAUUGCGGGUACUCGAGUGGCGAACGGGUGAGUAACACGUGAGUGAUCUGCCCCCAACUUGGGUAUAAGCCUGGGAAACUGGGUCUAAUUCCCGAUAGGACUGCAGGGUGGUGCCUGUGGUGGAAAACGAUUUUCUAGUGGUUGGGGAUGAGCUCGCGGCCUAUCAGCUUGUUGGUGGGGUAAUGGCCUACCAAGGCGGCGACGGGUAGCCGGCCUGGGAGGGUGGACGGCCACAUUGGGACUGAGAUACGGCCCAGACUCCUACGGGAGGCAGCAGUGGGGAAUAUUGCACAAUGGGCGGAAGCCUGAUGCAGCGACGCCGCGUGGGGGAUGACGGCCUUCGGGUUGUAAACUCCUUUCGACCGCGAGGAAGCCACCUGGUUGGAAGGGUGGUGACGGUGGUGGUAGAAGAAGCACCGGCUAACUACGUG